CUUAAGCAUAUCACUAAGCGGAGGAAAAGAAACUAACUAGGAUUCCCCCAGUAACUGCGAGUGAAGAGGGAAGAGCUCAUCAUUGGAAUCUGGCAGCGUUGCGCUGUCCGAGUUGUAGAUGAGAAGAGUAGGUCAUCUGGACUGCGUGGUGUCCAAGUACAAUAGGCCGUCAGUGGGACAUCAUAGAGGGUGACAAUCCCGUCCUUGACAACCAACGUACGAGUCCAUUACGAUGCCUAUCUCAGAGAGUCGAGCAGUUUGGGAUUUGCUGCUUAAACAUGGGAGGUAGAUUCCUUCUAAAGCUAAAUACAGGCAAGAGACCGAUAGAGAACAAGUACCGCAAGGGAAAGAUGAAAUAGAACUCUGUGAAGGGAGUCAAAAAGACGUGAAAUUGUUGCGAGAGAAGCGAUUCAAGUCAGCGUAGCUAGGCCCAUCAAGCUUCUUGCUUUGGACUAGCUUUGCCAGCGGUCUUGUCCUUUUAGAGACUUGACUUUUAACGUGCCCUGUCCGGUCUAACGGGCAGGCCCUUCGGGGCCAGUGGCAUGGCUGGUGGAAUGGCUUGCAAUCGACCCGUCUUGAAACACGGACCAAGGAGUCUAACAUGUGUGCGAGUAUAAGGGUGGCAAACCCGUAUGCGCAAAGAAAGUGAUAGCCUUUUAUGGCUGAGAAUGGCCUGAUGACCAGACAAGCAAUAUUAUGUUCCUCGUACGGUCAUUGCCCAAGUCCCGUGGUCAGAUCCCAUGGACAUGGAGUUAGAGCAUACAUGCUAGGACCCGAAAGAUGGUGAACUAUGCCUGGACAAAGCGAAGCCAAAGGAAACUCUGGUGGAGGCUUGUAGCGAUUCUGACGUGCAAAUCGAUCGUCUGAUCUGGGUAUAGGGGCGAAAGACUAAUCGAACC
rnacentral:rRNA from 1 species